rnacentral:misc_RNA from 1 species
AAUGAAUUGCAUAUAAAUGAUGGUUGGUUGGAUAUAAAUGAAAUCUAACAAGUUAUUUGUUGUCUUGUUUCAACAAAAAUUAAAAAUUUUCAUCAGGAUUAACUCUCACGUAUGCACAAGUUUAAUUUAAGGUUAGUUUAAGGAAGACUUGUAGCAUGAUGAUUGGGGAAGAGUAAACAACUUAUAGAUAUGACUGUUAAUUCGUAUAAUGAAUUCCUUCAGGGUCUUCAACUUGUACUGUGUUUUCGUUGAUCUUUUUUCUCUUUAAACAGCAGGGCACAAAUUUAUAGUGUUGACAUGUUACGAACUUAUACCAGAUGCUAGGAUUACCUGU